UACGUAGGGUCCGAGCGUUGUCCGGAAUUAUUGGGCGUAAAGGGCUCGUAGGCGGUUUGUCGCGUCGGGAGUGAAAACACGGGGCUUAACCCCGUGCCUGCUUCCGAUACGGGCAGACUAGAGGUAUGCAGGGGAGAACGGAAUUCCUGGUGUAGCGGUGAAAUGCGCAGAUAUCUGGAGGAACACCGGUGGCGAAGGCGGCAUCCUGGACCAAUAUUGACGCUGAGGAGCGAAAGCUAGGGGAGCAAACGGG
rnacentral:rRNA from 1 species